rnacentral:rRNA from 1 species
GAUGAACGCUGGCGGCGUGCCUAAUACAUGCAAGUCGAGCGAACAGACGAGGAGCUUGCUCCUCUGACGUUAGCGGCGGACGGGUGAGUAACACGUGGAUAACCUACCUAUAAGACUGGGAUAACUUCGGGAAACCGGAGUUAAUACCGGAUAAUAUAUUGAACCGCAUGGUUCAAUAGUGAAAGACGGUUUUGCUGUCACUUAUAGAUGGAUCCGCGCCGCAUUAGCUAGUUGGUAAGGUAACGGCUUACCAAGGCGACGAUGCGUAGCCGACCUGAGAGGGUGAACGGCCACACUGGAACUUAGACACGGUCCAGACUCCUACGGGAGGCAGCAGUAGGGAAUCUUCCGCAAUGGGCGAAAGCCUGACGGAGCCACCCCGCGUGAGUGAUGAAGGUCUUCGGAUCGUAAAACUCUGUUAUUAGGGAAGAACAAAUGUGUAAGUAACUAUGCACGUCUUGACGGUACCUAAUCAGAAAGCCACGGCUAACUACGUG